rnacentral:rRNA from 1 species
CCUACGGGAGGCAGCAGUCGGGAAUAUUGCGCAAUGGAGGAAACUCUGACGCAGUGACGCCGCGUAUAGGAAGACGGUUUUCUGAUUUUAAACUAUUUUCUUUAGGGAAGAUAAAAGACUGUACCUAAGUAGGUAGCCCCUGCGAAAUAUGUGCCAGCAGACUCGGUAAUACCGAGGGGGCACGCGUUAGCCGGAAUUAUUGGGUGUAAAGGGUUCGUAGGCGGUAGAACAAGUUGGUUGUGAAAUCCUGCGGCUCAACUGAGGUAGUGCAACCAAAACUAUUCUCCUUGAGUGUCGGUUAGGAAAGUGGAAUUCGUAGUGUAGCGGUGAAAUGCGUAGAUAUUAGGAGGAACACCAGUGGCGAAGGCGACUUUCUGGACGAUAACUGACGUUGAGGCACGAAAGUGUGGGGAGCAAACAGGAUUAGAUACCCUGGUAGUC